CUGACCUUAUGUCUUUGGCAUAGAGAGACCUUCCAAGCUUGGAAAACUAGGUUGGGGGUGAGGGAGGAAGACAUAUAUACUUCUGACAAACCAGGAUAGUUGAGGACCUGCCAUGUUAGGCCGUAUUCAGGACUAAUAACUGCACUGUCUGGUUUUAUUUGUUAUCAGUAAGAAACUUUACUUUUCCUCUGCUAUAUGAGGUGUUAAGUGUAAUACAUAUGCAUUUGCCUUACUAGUGCUGAACUAGUUAUGCUGUUGGGGUUUUUAAUUCAGGCUCUGGUGCUCCUGACAGCCUGUGGUUGUGACACAAACGCCAGAGCAGGCUGCCCCACGUCGAUAUUCUGCACAAAGAGUUGCUUUGACUUGCUCCUUCCCAGUCUCCAAUGCACACACAUGCACUGCUUCACUCCUCAUCGGAGCAGAGGAAUGGAGAUAGAGCAGCUGUGAAAUACACCUGCCCUCCAUCUGCAGCACUGCUUGAUUACAUGCCUUUAGCUUGGCAAUAUAGUAUAGUUAUGCUGUAAUAUAAAUACAUUUCUCUCCCCAGCCCAUGACUCUGGAUCAAUCAGCAGCUUGAAACAGCAGGAGGGAAAUGAAGUAGUAAUGUAGGGUGAAAAAUAAAGAUUUGAGAGCGUGAUCAGGCAACUAAACACCACUAGGCCACACUGCCCCACUUAGUGGGCCUACAGCUGCAUUGGGCCAUGACCAAAUCUAUUAAUAGGCUAUGCAGAGCUCUCUGUAGUCCUAAGAGUAAUGCUCUUCAGGUGUUUGAGCUCUUGUUCCUACUCUGUAACUUCAGUAACUCCAUUGUGGUGCCUUGUUACAGUAGCUGACGCAUCAGAAAUGAUGAAAAGUCUUACUCUAGUCUCCUCCGACAGAAAUCCUGCUCUUCAUUUCUAGAAUGAAGAGACAAUAAGAAAGAAAUAAUGCUGAGACUGUAAACUCAGCUGUAAUGUGGACAGGAGGUUGCCCCUAGAGCAUCUGUCUUGCUCCAGGCUUGAUGACAGACCCAAGGGGAAAGGAUUGGGGUGGAAGGAACACGGUCUGGUUUGUUGUUUCUGUGGAACAGGACCUGCUGCAUCCCAGGCCCAGGGGACCAGGCUCUUACAUGCUUGUAGCUGGACUGAGUGUGCCCCAGACCCUGUGGACCAUCACAUUCAACAUGUCAUCCCACAAACUGUCAUUUUAGGAUCAUAUACCUCCUGCAAAGCAGCAUGCACACCUACACAAGAAACCAUGCCCGUAGACCCUGUCUAUGGUGACAAGCAGGCAUGUCUAACGUACAAGUUAUUUCAUUGUAAAGACAUUUAAACUUAAGGAAGAUGAUUUCUACCUCUCACCCAAGAGACACAGUAUAGAGGAACAGGGCAGAUCAGUUGUUUAGCAGGUUUAGGGAAGCUAACCUUGUACAUCAGGGCACUAGGGACCUGUUACUCUGUGAAGAUAUCCAUAACACCCUUGGGCUGCUCCAGUCCCUUUCCCCUGAUGGUCUGUGGCUGGAGUCAAAAGUGAGUGCUGCAGCUCUGUGAUUAAUUCUCAUCUUCCCCAUGACUGAGGAAGGGACUUGAGGUCCCUGGGGACAGUGGUUGUUUACUGCAGGACACAGCCCUGGAGGACUGGAGUCUGGUGAAUGUCUGCAAUGCUGUCUGAAACUCAGGGGUGAAACCGUGCUUGGUGGGAAAGAGCAGCAGCGCAGCGGGAGGGAAAUGCUCGAGGGAGAGGGUGUACCCAGAGAACAGCGGAGGAAGCAUGUGUGAGGCAGCAGCUGCAGAAACAGGCAGCAGGGAGGAGAGUUCUUCCAGCAAGAAUACAUCUGAGGAGCCGCUACUGCACCCACCAUGAAAGCAUGGAGAAGAAAACCUCACCCUGCGGGGUCUGUUCACCAUUCUUUCUCCCAUGGUCAGCCCAGGACAAGCCACUAACUGAAUAAGGAGUGGGAAGCCUGCGAUGUACUGGGAUCCCACUUGCACACAGAGGAAACUGCAGCAGUGCCAAGACCCAAGUCACUUCCUGGUGACUGCACUGCCUCACACCUGCCUAAGCAAAAGUCGUGGUCCCUAAUGUCCACACAACUUGACUGCAGUGGAGCGGAGGAGGGCAAAGCUUGCUUUUGCCCUGUACUGAAAAAAACAUGUGUGGUAUUGCCCCAAGGGCCUGGGAAAAUAACCCACAGUGCAAAGCGGAUGAGAGAAGGACCCCGCUUAGCUCCAAAUGGCUUUUGAAAGUAUUCAUUUUCCCUCCUGGUCCUUCACUUCCCACAUUGUAAUUCAGGGCUGCUAAACCAUCACUAAAUUGAAAGUGGCCUGGAAGCCUCAAGUCACUUGUAUUGCUUGGGUACAGCAGUGAUAUGUGACUGGGGGUGUCUGUAGAUGUAUAGUUUCAGCUUGAUAGCAGUA